UGUAAUAACAUGUAAUCUGCACAUCAGGAUCACAAAGGCAAAUCUAUAAUUUCACUUGAUUUAUUUUCUUAAAAUGUGACAAUCCCACAUGUUGCUUGAAAUGAUGGAAGUUGGGACAAACAGGAAUGUGGGAGGUUUAUGAGCUGCGUCAGCCAAGUCUUGGGGAUCCCUCCUCUUCCGUGCCUGGAAGAUAGGCCUGAGCAAUUUCCCCUUUUACUGCAGCAAUAUCUCCUCUGCAUUCAGCAGAAAGACCCCCAACCUGUAAACAUAUUAGUAGGCGUGUUCGCUUUACAAGUGUGUAAAUUUCCCCACAGUGUGUACCUCCUGGGUCUGAGGCCCUGAUUAUUGGUGUAAGUAGCCUGUGCAGGAGAAAGCUCCAGUGUGGUCUAGAUUUGUGCCCACUGGAGGGUGGUGGACAGGCUGGGGGAUUUGAAAACACAGUAGCAGACAUUUUCUCUCACCAGCAGGCAGGAAUCCACUCACAUGAAAUAACACAAAAUGAUUGCCAAGGCCUGAGAGCUGUGACUCAGGGGCAAGAUGUACAGAUUCAGACUUACAAAACCAUCCAAGAGCCUCUUCAGGCCCAAGGGAAACUUAGCUCCCAUUGCCUGCUGCCUUUUGCCACUCUUCCUUCUCCUUUGACAGGUGACUUCAUGUGGAACACAAUAAUAACCAUGGUUAUUGGAAGCCUGGUAUGUGGUAGAGGUGCACUAAUCCAGCUCAUUGACCACCUCCAAGCCAUCCCUCACUGGGUCCACAGGACCUGAGCUCUCAUCAAGCAGUAGUAUCAGGCUACAAGAGUCCUCAUGAACCCCAAAUCAGGCUCCCUUUGGGAUGAAAGAGAUUUCUGAGUGUGUGGGUGUGGAGACUCAACCUUCAGGUCAAAGCUUUCCCCAAGUGAUCUCCUCCUCCCUCUCCAACUGCUUCUUCUCCAGUUUCCUAGUUAUCAAAAAUGUUUAUUUUUUGAAAUGAUGAGAACAAACCUGCAUGGAUAUUUGUACUUUCAAACUUAGAAGGGAAUGGUAAGAAGCUCAAUCAGCCCCCUGGAAUGCUGUAGCUUUGUCCAGAACCUCCUUCUGCUACUGACACCUCCUUGGGAGUAAGAGACACAGGCUUCUGGGUAUUUUAGCUGUAGAACCCAAGAAUUACCCAUGAGGGUGUGCUUUUUGCAGAUUUUGUCUCCCAACUCUUAGAACGUUACUCGUGGUCAAAUGUGUUUUCAUCCUUACAAUUACCAAGGGGCCUCCACGGGGCUGCCAAGCUGGCUGGAAAGCUAUGUGUGUAUAUGUGUGUGUGUUUUCCUUUCCCCCUAACUCACUGAGAGCUUGGCAAGGCCAGGAGAGAGGCAGCUGAUUAUUUUUAGCC
rnacentral:lncRNA from 1 species